AAACACCCUCUUACCUCCACCAGAUUGUUACCUGACCAAAUGUAGGUCCCCUCACCCAACUCACAGCAAAGCCAACCCACUGGGCACUGGAUGUGAUGAAGACCUGAAGGACUGCAGCACACAAGGCUUACCUGUCCAUCACCAACUCCGGAGUCUGCCCAAAUUCAUGUGCAUCGAAUCAAUGAUGCCAUCCAACCUCUGUCGACCCCUUCUCAUCCUGCCUUCAAUUUUAAACAGCAUCAGGUUCUUUCCCAAUGAGUCAGUUCUUCCCAUC
ensembl:lncRNA